UACCUGAGGUGGAUUAUUCACU
rnacentral:miRNA from 1 species